CCUACGGGUGGCAGCAGUGGGGAAUAUUGGACAAUGGGGGGAACCCUGAUCCAGCCAUGCCGCGUGUGUGAAGAAGGCCCUCGGGUUGUAAAGCACUUUCAGUGAGGAAGAACGCCUGGUGGUUAAUACCCAUCAGGAAAGACAUCACUCACAGAAGAAGCACCGGCUAACUCCGUGCCAGCAGCCGCGGUAAUACGGAGGGUGCGAGCGUUAAUCGGAAUUACUGGGCGUAAAGCGCGCGUAGGUGGCUUGAUAAGCCGGUUGUGAAAGCCCCGGGCUCAACCUGGGAACGGCAUCCGGAACUGUCAAGCUAGAGUGCAGGAGAGGAAGGUAGAAUUCCCGGUGGAGCGGUGAAAUGCGUAGAGAUCGGGAGGAAUACCAGUGGCGAAGGCGGCCUUCUGGACUGACACUGACACUGAGGUGCGAAAGCGUGGGUAGCAAACAGGAUUAGAUACCCUGGUAGUC
rnacentral:rRNA from 1 species